AUAAACAUACAAAAGUAAAAUGGAAGAAAGAGAAGACAAUAACUAACUAAGUAAGAGAUAGAAGGACAACUGUUCGUCGAUAGAGCAAUCAACAUGACACGUGGCGCGACAGGAAGGAGGAAUGAGAAUGAGGCCAAGGCACCUCUGUUCGAGGGGAGAGGGAGAGGAUCGGCGAGUGGUACGAUACUCGACGGCAUCCUGGAGAAUGAUGUUGCCCAAGAAGAAUCUUCCAUCCUUGAUCCCCACCAGCAUUCGCCGAAACAGCAGCUUCCUCGCCCGCCGAACCGCAUCCGACCCUUCUCCAACUGCUUCUUCUUCCAUCGCCCCCAACCACACACUAUUUAGGUUUUCAACUAAAACAGAACGUCAAAACCAUGACUUCCCCUAGGCCCCUAUAUCUGUAUAUCAUGCUUCUUUUCGCAAAUUUCAUACAACUCCCUUAACAACUUUACAAUUACCUGUAUGUAAAACCAAAAAAUGGAUUAAUAGCGGGGUAUUAUAGUAAAACAACAAAAUAAAGGAGGAAGAAAAGGUGAAUAGAUCUUGCCCUGCCUCCUAGAGAGAUUCUCAGAGAAACAAGAAAUCGAGUGCGUUCCUCGGCGAAAUUCGAAACAUCAGGGCUUCAACUAGCUUCGCUUCUUCUUCAUCAUCAUCUUAUCUUAUAUCUAUUAAUCAGAUUGUUGUCACAAGGGUGGCAUGGGAGAAGAAGUUUGGUGAAAAGAGCUGGCGCGACACUGCAGCGGUUGUUGGCCACCGUUGGGGGAGAAUUGGCCUCUUGAGAGAUUCGUAACAGUCGCAGUUAUAAAGGAAGAAGGUUUCACGACUUAGGGUUUUAAAAGGGCUGUUUUUCUCACUUGGGAUUUUAUGGCCAGUUGAAAUUGGGUUACUUUAAAUAUAUAACCGAGUUUAUUUUUUGGACUCUACUUCAAUCUUAGACUCAAUAAAAUCUAAAUAUUUUUGUGCCCCAA